rnacentral:rRNA from 1 species
CGCCUGUUUUUUAAAAACAUCGCCUCUUGAUUAAUUAUAAGAGGUCCAGCCUGCCCAGUGAAAAUUUAACGGCCGCGGUACCCUGACCGUGCGAAGGUAGCAUAAUCACUUGUUCUUUAAAUAGGGACUAGUAUCAACGGCACCACGAGGGUUACACUGUCUCCUUUCUCCAAUCAGUGAAACUGAUCUCCCCGUGAAGAAGCGGGGAUAUAAUCAUAAGACGAGAAGACCCCAUGGAGCUUUAAAUUUUAUAGCAACUCAGUCAAAUAAACCUCUAUAAUUAACAGAGCCAUGCAUGUCAAUUUUAGGUUGGGGUGACCGCGGAGUAAAAAUUAACCUCCACGACGAAAAGAACUAAAUCUUUAUCCAAGAGUUACAACUCUAAGAAUUAGUAUACUAACGACAAUGACCCGAUAAUCGAUCAACGGACCAAGUUACCCUGGGGAUAACAGCGCAAUCUACUUCGAGAGCUCAUAUCGACAAGUAGGCUUACGACCUCGAUGUUGGAUCAGGGUAUCCCGGUGGUGCAGCCGCUACUAAUGGUUCGUUUGUUCAACGAUUAAAACCCUACGUGAUC